rnacentral:rRNA from 1 species
GGAAUAUUGUACAAUGGGCGCAAGCCUGAUGCAGCCAUGCCGCGUGUGUGAAGAAGGCCUUCGGGUUGUAAAGCACUUUCAGCGGGGAGGAAGGCGGUGAGGUUAAUAACCUCAUCGAUUGACGCUACCCGCAGAAGAAGCACCGCCUCACUCCGUGCCAGCAGCCGCGGUAAUACGGAGGGUGCAAGCGUUAAUCGGAAUUACUGGGCGUAAAGCGCACGCAGGCGGUCUGUCAAGUCAGAUGUGAAAUCCCCGGGCUCAACCUGGGAACUGCAUUUGAAACUGGCAGGCUUGAGUCUCGUAGAGGGGGGUAGAAUUCCAGGUGUAGCGGUGAAAUGCGUAGAGAUCUGGAGGAAUACCGGUGGCGAAGGCGGCCCCCUGGACGAAGACUGACGCUCAGGUGCGAAAGCGUGGGGAGCA